rnacentral:rRNA from 1 species
CCUACGGGAGGCAGCAGUAGGGAAUAUUGCUCAAUGGGGGAAACCCUGAAGCAGCAACGCCGCGUGGAGGAGGAAGGUUUUCGGAUUGUAAACUCCUUUUGUUAGAGAAGAUAAUGACGGUAUCUAACGAAUAAGCACCGGCUAACUCCGUGCCAGCAGCCGCGGUAAUACGGAGGGUGCAAGCGUUACUCGGAAUCACUGGGCGUAAAGAGCGCGUAGGCGGGAUAGCAAGUCAGAUGUGAAAUCCUAUGGCUUAACCAUAGAACUGCAUUUGAAACUGUUAUUCUAGAGUAUGGGAGAGGUAGGUGGAAUGCUUGGUGUAGGGGUAAAAUGCGUAGAGAUCAAGAGGAAUACUCAUUGCGAAGGCGACCUGCUAGAACAUAACUGACGCUGAUGCGCGAAAGCGUGGGGAGCAAACAGGAUUAGAUACCCUUGUAGUC